ACGUACAUAUUUGGACCGUUUGAAGAAACCUUAACCCGCUCGUUUUUCUGCCCAUUCAACAUCACAAUUUAAAGAUUCUGUACCGAGAGAGAUAUCAAACUUGCUUUGGGACUAAUCUUCGGCAAAAUGGGAACGCG
rnacentral:lncRNA from 1 species